AGAACAGGACUCACCGAUGGCAAAAUCUUUGAGUGGCUCACUGCUAUUCUGCCGGAACUUGCGAUGCAUCCAACCUAGUAACUGCAUCAAAGAAGUGCAAUGGUGAACCCAUAUGAGUUUGAUGUCUGAUCACUUCAGUAGCGAGGAGAGGAUGAGAGAAGCAGCUUUUGAUAGUAAGCCGCAUGACUAUUUAUGAAUAGGAUAUUGAAUUGUUGCUGAAAGCUUCCAAGGGUCUGAGUUACAGGUGGGUAAAGAGAAACACACAGAAAGUUACAAGAUUUGGUGAUUUGGUUGGCUAUUCCUUUUCAAGAUCAAAUCAUGUGGCCAAAUGGUAUGUGGGUUCCAGUACCCACAAGCUGUUGAUUCUGUCUGAUCCAUGCACUUAAUGCAUGUGUGAGGUUGGUUGCAGGUUUAUGUUUCUUUCUUUCUUUCUUUCUUUUCUUCUUUUUUUCUUCACAUGAUUUGGCAUGAUCACUGCACAAUCUGCACCUAUCAAUGCUUGAAUACGAUGGCAAAUGUUGUAUUUUGCAGAUGUCCAGUAGAUUUCUUAGGAUGCAUGUAAACAUGUUCAGUUAUGAACCAUGUGUGACAGGUGCACCUUGAUGUGGGUCUGUAAUUGAUCUUGCCAAUUUGACAUGUUUAUGGACAUGCACUUUUUGCAUCAGCUGAUGGACCUUUUUCAUUCUAAUAAUUCUACCUACAUUACCAUUUAUUUGAUGGAAAUACCUCACCAUUGCAAGUGGGGCCAUAGAGAAUAUUUUGUUGGCUUCUAUGGGUUCAAAGACAAUUUGACAAUGAGGAAAAUCUUUUCUUAUUUGGGAUAAAAAAAGUUAGAACGCUUAAUGCUUUUUGGUAGGCCCACUCCUGGGUAAGUUAUUCCUAACUGAAAUGACCCUUAUCUGAUAUACUAUUAUACCAAUGAUUGUCUCAAACAAAUAUCUUUGUAUUUGAUGUUUAACUAUGACUCUGAACUUUGUGUUUGUUGCUGUUUGCAAUCAACUUUAAUCUGUAGAGGCAAUUAGAUGCACUGAACUUCCUGCUAUUGUAGAUGUCUAAUGUUCCCUGCAUUUGGAACAGGUCAAUCUGUGAAGGGAUCUGGUACACUACUACAGGUAUGACUCCAGCCUCAAAUUUUCCUUUUUUUUUUUAUAGGCUACUCGAGCCUUCAAUUUUUAUAUCAACAUUUGUAAUGUCUUUUGUUUCAUGGUGCUGGAGUUGCAGUAAAAUUAGUUGCAAAGUUGUGGUCCGUCCUUGAGAACCUAUUUUACUUGCUUGUGGUGAAUAAACAAUAUGAAUUGUUAGUUGUUAGUAUUGCAACAAUGUUAUCACAUAUAAAUCUUUUAACUUGAGCCCACACCCUUAUUUCCCAGAAUAUAUUGCUGUAGGACAAUAAAAUUGUCACAUGAGAAUGCUUAAUGCAUACUGUCAUCUGGCUUCAUUUGUAUGAAUUAUUGCAUUUCUCCAGUCUGAUAGCAAAAGUAGGGGCCUAAAAUAGCUUAAAGGAAGAGAAGCACUAGCCUUAGCCGGUCAUGUUCAUGUUCUCUGCUCCACCAUUUUCAUACAAUACAUAUUCUUUCACAGAGCCCAUCAGGCACUGGGCUGUUGGCCUUGAAAAUCUAUUAUACCCCACAAGCAUCGCUGUGAAUAAGAGCGAACAGAGAAAAGGGAAAGGGUUUCUGAGCUUAGAGACAAAGGGAACAGAGCCAUCCUUGCUGAUAACAAACAUCUUUGAUGUUUGUUUGAUAAUGUAUGGAAAGCAACACAAGUAACAUUGUUUUUUGGGAAGCUUUGAAUAUUGAAAAAAAAUGUAGCUUCUACAAAAAUGAUAGAUGUGAAUGCUUUAAAUUUCAUCAUGGACUUUAUAUCUCCAAAGCCAGUUUCUAGAGUGAUUAGGGUUCUAACUAAAGCUUUGGCUGUUUCUUAAGCAGUUUGAUUGAAUAUGAGAGAAAUUCAGUGGCCAAACGAUGAUGCCUAGGAUUGAGGAUGAAAUUGAUAAGAAAUGAGAAGCUUGACAAUAGCGACAACUACUAUUUGUUGUUCUUUGUAUGAUUAUGUCCAGUUCUAAAAUAGUUUUGUCAAGAACUGUCUCCGAUGAAUCAUUAAGGUGGGAAGAAGCUUCUUCACAUGAAGACAACUUACCAUGUUUUGAACAUUAUAUCCUUUAUUAUAUCAUUUCAAUGUUGUGAUUGUGUACAAACAUAACAAUCUUAUUGCAUUAUAGGUUCAAGGAGUUUUUGGUUCAACUAAGGUUUCCAUUCUAAGGUUUGAAAGCAAGACCAAGUAAUUGUACUGAUGAUCAGCAUGCAUGCUUGCUUCAUUUUAUUUUCAUCACUCUAAAAUUUUCCUUUCCUGGUCAAUUAGAUUUUGUGAAGUUGCUGGAGAAAGCUCUAAGCUUAUUGGGCUUUAUCUGACGAUAAUUUCGGAUCUUGUUUCCUCCUAAAAGAGCAUACCAUAUCCAGCUUUGAAUACCAGUCUUAAGUUUUGAUGAUAGGAACUACAUGGUCAUCAAAUGUCACUGAGCUGAUGGAGAUGGAUUAGCCUGAGUGGGAGACCAAACAGUGGAAAUUGAAAGGGACAGGCAUAGAGGCGGAAAGGGUAUGAUGAUGAGGGCAAAUCUCUGCGCCGAGGAAAAAAAAAAAUGAACACCUGUCUUCCUGUAUGGCAAUCAACAAUUCCUUAGGUUCUCCGUCAUGUGAUUAAAGCCAGAAAUGGGUUUGAUUCAAAUUUGGGAGGUUUAUGGAUAUGACAGUGGGCUAUUGCUUUGUACCCUAUCCUUGCCUUUGGAUCUUAAAAUGAAGUUCUACAUCCAUCAUGAAUAAUGGAAUACUCAUUUUGUGUGGAUGAAACAAAUAUGAUCUCUGGAAAUGCUGCCAUUCCCACUGAAACCAAACCAUCUGCUGCUUAUCAAAUACUAAAAGUGGAUCACAUUCUCAAUUGUAGUAGGGUCUGAGCACACGAUCGUGACAUCCUCCUUUUGAGAAGUGAACGAGAUAUAUAGGACCCAUUGGGAUGGUGCUGUUUGUCAGGGUGUCAUUGGUAUAUACUUUCAACUCGGCUUUUAAACAAAUGCUGCCUUGUCUUUCUCCUCCUGUUGAUUACAAGCCCUUCCACAACCCAACAGUCACUAAGCAGGCAAAGGGAUAAGGGUUUGCAUAUGGGUGAGUUGUGGCAAGCUGCCUCAAUUGGGGACGUUCUGAAGCCUCACAACCGAAUUGUCAUCAAUCAGGCCAAGGUAUGACAAUCGAUUAGUCAUAGUUUUAAGGUUCCUAAGACACAGAACGCUGUUGCAACAACAAUGAUAUAUAUAGAUAUCCAGCUUGCAUUCUCAUCUACAA